rnacentral:tRNA from 1 species
GGGUCUGUAGCUCAGUGGUAGAGCACUUGCCUCAUACAUGUGAGGCCCUGGGUUCGAUCCACAGCACCA